UCCUACUCACCCAGUAGAUAGAGUGAAGAGAGCGUUUGGGCAGCCUGCCACUAAUACCUCUGUUUACCUAUACCUUAGUCUUCCAGGCUUAAUAUCAAAUUUCCUCACUAGAGGCUUUCUGACCAUAUAUAUUCCUUCUCAGGGCCCUAAGUCCUUCAUUGUCCAAGAAGUCUGGUUUAAACUUUCUUAUUAUUUAGUCUCUGCCAACAGUAGAGAAAGUAAGCAUGCUAUUGACAUACCCCCCUGUGCUAAAACAUAAGAUUAUGAUUUAGUAGAAGUAGCACCAAAAAUACCAAGCCCCAAGACCAUCCAGAUGCAAGUAGAGACAAAUGCUGUACUUUCAUGCACAAUUAUCUAAAGAUUUGUGCUAAAAGUCAGGGACAGUGUUGCAGGCCCAGAAGUACAUUUUGUAUAGGUCCUUCUCUAAUAGACUCUACCACUGCUGUCCUUGCAAACAGACAGCUCUGUCUUUCAUGACAGCAGUAUGAUUUUUAGGCUGAAAAUAGGGGCAAGGAGUCAUUUGCAGAAGAGACCAUGACAGAGUCUUGGGAUCAGACUGGAACCAAACCCACAAUAAAUCUGCAUGGCUGAAAGAACUCAGAGGCACCUCAAGAGCCCUUCAAAAUGUGCACAAUAAGCAACCUGAAGAAAGAGAACGUCUGGACCCUCGCUAUGCAGGAACUUCUAAGUCCAUUGAACCACCACCACUGUCCAGGAUUCAUAAACACAUGGAGAACACUAGAUCACCAGAAGAAAAAGAUGAAAAGUUUUGUAAGAGAAUCUGCAAGAUCUGCCUCUUUGGUUACUCAGAGCACUGAAGAAGGGAGAAAGGAAAGAUGCAGUAUCAGAGAAUUUCAAGUUGACUGGCACGGCUUUCAUCUAACUGGAUUAUCUUUAAUUCAAAAGAUACGAUUACCUGUGGUUUAUACCUAUAGCUAUGCUGUCAUAUGCAAAGUCACAUUGGGCUCCUGUUUCUCCAUGCUAGGAACAAAAAUAUAAUGAGAAAAACAAGUUUCAGGGCAUAUAUGCUGCCUAUGUUCACUUUCCUCUAUGGCAAAUAGUUGCCAUGACCAUAUCAAUGUAGUAGUAUUUCAGUAACUGUAUGUUCAUAGCAGCACCCAUCAAUUCAACCUGUAAUAUGCUCUCAAAUUCUGAUUCACAUUCUUGUAAUGACUCAGCCCAUUGAAAAUUUCAAGAGCAUAUUCAACCAUUGAGAAUGAAUGUACAGCAAGUUUCUGCCUUUGAAAUAAACUUUUUUUUUCCCCUGGUUAUUCUUGUUUAUUCUUAAGUUCAUGCUGUCCACUGUACAGCUUGUGUUUACUUCUCCUUUUUCUGCAGUGUGGGUUCCUAGUACAGGGCAUUUAGGAAUCAUUUAUUUCUAAUCUUGAUACACAGGAAUAUAACAUGGACAACAGUUCAGCACAUGUCACUUAUGUGGCUGUGGUGGGUUGACCCUGGCUGGACACCAAGUGUCCACCAAAGCCACCUUAUCACUGCCCUCCUCAGCUGAACAGGGGAGUGAAAAUAUAAUGAAAGGCUCGUGGCUUGAGAUAAGGACAGGGAGAGAUCACUCAACAAUUAUUGUCAUGGACAAAAGAGACUUAACUUGGGGAAAUUAAUUUAUUACCAAACAAAUCAGAGUAGGAUAAUGAGAAAUAAAACCAAAACUUAAAAACACUUUCCCCCAACCCUCCCUUCUUCCCAUGCUUCUCUUUACUCCUGAUUUUUCUCUGCCUCUUCCCCUCUCCCAGCAGUGCAGGAAUGGGGGCUGUGGUCAGUCCAUCACAUGUUGUCUCUGCCACUCCUUCCUGCUCACACUCUUCCCACUAACUUUUCUAACCCAAGUCUUUCCCAUGGGGUUCCUGCUCCAGUGUGGGUCUCCCACAGAGUCACAGGUCCUGCCAAGAGCCUGCUCCAGAGCAGGCUUCCCACAGGGUCACAGCUUCCUUUGAGCAUCCCCCUGCUCUGGUGUGGGGUCCUCCACAGGCUGCAGGUGGAGAUCUGCUCCACCAUGGGACCUCUAUGGGCUGCAGGGGGCAGCCUGCCUCACCAUGUUCUGCACCAUGGGCUACAGGGGAAUCUCUUCUCUGGCACCUGGAGCACCUCCUGCCCAUCCCUCUGCAUUGACCUUGGUGUCUGCAGAGCUGUUUCACAUAUUCUCAUUCUUCUCUUCUGGCUGCAAUUGCUAUCUCCAGGGGGGCUUUCCCCCUUCUUAAACAUGUUUUCCCAGAGACACUACCAGCAUCACUGAUGGGCUCAGCCUUCACCAGAGCAGGUUCGUCUUGGAGCUGACUGGCAUUGGCUCUAUUGGACAUGGGGGGAGCUUCUUGCAGCUUCCCACAGAAGCUACCCCUGUACCCCUUCUGCUACCAAAAUCUUGUCACACAAACCCAGUACACUGGAUUAUGGUAUAAUCAUUUCAGUGCAGAGACAUGCUGCAAAAUGAUUUAGGAAUAAAGCAAAGAAUGUUUUAUCCAGUUGAAUCUCCAGGCAUUA